rnacentral:rRNA from 1 species
GACGAACGCUGGCGGCGUGCCUAAUACAUGCAAGUCGAACGCUGUUGCGAACGGGUGAGUAACGCGUAGGAAACUUCCUUAAAGCGGGGGAUAAAUAUUGGAAACGCUAGGUAAUACCGCAUACUGUGAGAUGGACCUGCGUUGUAUUAGCUAGUUGGUGAGGUAAAGGCUGACCAAGGCGACGAUACAUAGCCGACCUGAGAGGGGGAUCGGCCACAACGGGAAUGGGGCACGGCCCAGAAUCCUACCGGGAGCAGCAGGAGGGAAUCCUCGGCAAUGGACGGAAAUCUGAACCAGCAACGCCGCGUGAGGGAAGAAGGUUUUCGGGUCGUAAAGCUCUUUUGGUAGAGGAGCGGUAACUAACCAGAAAGCGACGGCUAACUACGUGCCAGCAGCCGCGGUAAUUC